AGAAGGUCGGAUUGGUCAUGGGGGGACCCUGAUCCAGCCAUGCCGCGUGUGUGAAGAAGGCCUUUUGGUUGUAAAGCACUUUAAGCAGUGAAGAAGACUCUUCGGUUAAUACCCGGAGACGAUGACAUUAGCUGCAGAAUAAGCACCGGCUAACUCUGUGCCAGCAGCCGCGGUAAUACAGAGGGUGCAAGCGUUAAUCGGAAUUACUGGGCGUAAAGCGAGCGUAGGUGGCUUGAUAAGUCAGAUGUGAAAUCCCCGGGCUUAACCUGGGAACUGCAUCUGAAACUGUUAGGCUAGAGUAGGUGAGAGGGAAGUAGAAUUUCAGGUGUAGCGGUGAAAUGCGUAGAGAUCUGAAGGAAUACCGAUGGCGAAGGCAGCUUCCUGGCAUCAUACUGACACUGAGGCUCGAAAGCGUGGGUAGCAAACAGGAUUAGAUACCCUGGUAGUCCACGCCGUAAACGAUGUCUACUAGUCGUUGGGUCCCUUGAGGACUUAGUGACGCAGCUAACGCAAUAAGUAGACCGCCUGGGGAGUACGGCCGCAAGGUUAAAACUCAAAUGAAUUGACGGGGGCCCGCACAAGCGGUGGAGCAUGUGGUUUAAUUCGAUGCAACGCGAAGAACCUUACCUGGUCUUGACAUAUCUAGAAUCCUGCAGAGAUGCGGGAGUGCCUUCGGGAAUUAGAAUACAGGUGCUGCAUGGCUGUCGUCAGCUCGUGUCGUGAGAUGUUGGGUUAAGUCCCGCAACGAGCGCAACCCUUGUCCUUAGUUACCAGCGGGUUAAGCCGGGAACUCUAAGGAUACUGCCAGUGACAAACUGGAGGAAGGCGGGGACGACGUCAAGUCAUCAUGGCCCUUACGACCAGGGCUACACACGUGCUACAAUGGUAGGUACAGAGGGCAGCUACACAGCGAUGUGAUGCGAAUCUCAAAAAGCCUAUCGU
rnacentral:rRNA from 1 species